UACAGAGGGUGCGAGCGUUAAUCGGAAUUAUCUGGGCGUAAAGCGCGCGUAGGCGGCUUUGCAAGUCGGGUGUGGAAAUCCCCAGGCUUAACCUGGGAACUGCAUUCGAGACUGCAUUGCUAGAGUAUGGGAGAGGGAAGUGGAAUUCCGGUGUAGCGGUGAAAUGCGUAGAUAUCGGAAGGAACAUCAGUGGCGAAAGCGACUUCCUGGACCAAUACUGACGCUCAUGUGCGAAAGCGUGGGGAGCAAACAGG
rnacentral:rRNA from 1 species